UAAAGUAGGUAGGCUAUGUAAUCUGUAAUCGAAGGAGAAGGUCAAUCACAGGUGGAGCCAGAAGGCCUAGUUCCCACAGGACCCCCAGAGGGAGGCUCAAAGCACCCAAAGAAAGAUGACGCCUAUAAGGUACUUCUGCAAAAAGAGACCGAAAGGGCAGAAGUACAGAUCCAUCUAGCAGAGGAACAGCUUAUUCUUGCCCGACGAAGCAGAUGAUGAUGAUGAAGAAGAAGGAGAACUCAUAAGAAGAACUACUCAUAACAAGAACUAAGAAGUCUCAGAUGAGUGGACUGCCUGUUUCCAAGAAAUGGACAAUGGAGGGGGAUGUUUAUAUUGUUUGUUUGCUGUUCCGUUCAGUCCUAUUUUCUGUUCAAAUAAAGCAUAUUGGAGUGACCCCA